UGUGCAAGAUGGACACAGAGUGGCUGUUCUGGGAGCAGUGCACCACACAACUUCUGCUAUCAGCUGUCUGCCAGCAGCUGCUGGACACUUGGUUUGAGGCUCUAGGCUAAGCUGCAGGACACAGAUAAGCCAAGUAUUUCCUUUACUCCCCUCUUCCUCCCUGCCCUAUACUCGAACUGACAAGGCAUGAUCUACAACAUACAACACCAUGAAGAUCACAGGAUCUUAAGGGCUGGAAGGGACCUUGAAGGAUCAUCCAGCCCAACCCCUCUGCCAGAGCAGGACCACCUAGUUUUGAUUAAAGUUUUCCUCUCCAAUUCCAAAGAGAGAAUUUUAUACAAAAAGAUGCCCCACUGAAGCAAAAUCUGAGUGUUUUAUCUGCUGUGUUCUGGGAAACAGCCUGUCAGAGGUUCUACACCAGGAUCUUUUCCUACAAAACACUGUGGAUCUGCCAGCAGUUGAAGCUUCAGAAGAAGAGAUCAUAAAGCAAACACAAUGCAAACAGCAACAGAUAGUCAAGAUUAGACACUGCUCACCAGAGGGACUGAAAGAACUACUUAGAAAACAGUGGCUCCAGGAUACCAUCAUCUUCAUCCCUGUAGCCAUAGUAUUCUGCAUCAAUGGAUUUCAUAAGCUCAGCUCGAGUUUUCCGAGGUGGUGGGAGGGCUGAAAGAACAUGACUGUCAUUCCCUGAGUCCCUACGAGAUUGCUGGGCAUACAAUAAGAGACUGGGAGGGGCUGGAAGGCAUUUGGGGCUCCUAUGGACCUCCCAGCAGCAACAGGCACCUUGCUCAGGCACCAGUGCUCCAUACUGCACAAUUCCCAGCCCAUGGCAAUUCUACACUCAUGUGUGGGCAUUUCCCCACCAAUACUGAGCAAGACUACUGUAUGCAAGCAAAUAAAGAACUAUCCCACGCUGCCCCAGACCAUCCUGUACUUGCCACAACUUGCCUGUGCAGCUGGCAAGGAGCUGAUUCAGCAGGCAUGCCUCGUUUUUCAGGCCCAAGCAAUUCCCACUCCUUCUAUGACAAACCCAAACAAAGCUUUAUCCCCUUACACAUGGUUUUGCCUCAUGUGAAAGCUGAUUCCUUCUUCUACAAUUAUAUUCAAGCAAACAUUCUGAACUCUGAAUACAACUUAGAACUAAUCAAUAAAGUCAUCUUGAAGCUUUCUAUAGAA